GGUGGUUCUCGAGUGACGCACCCUGGAAUCGGGCACCCUCCUCUCUGGUUCCGGGUGCAUCACAGGAGAACCGCA
rfam:Myotis lucifugus cont2.16571, whole genome shotgun sequence.